rnacentral:rRNA from 1 species
AGUGAAUAGAUACCCCGGUAGUCCUAGCCGUAAACGAUACUCGCUAGGUGUCGGCCACGGUGCGACCGUUGUCGGUGCCGUAGGGAAAGCCGUGAAGCGAGCCACCUGGGAAGUACGGCCGCAAGGCUGAAACUUAAAGGAAUUGGCGGGGGAGCACCACAACGGGUGGAGCUUGCGGUUUAAUUGGAUUCAACGCCGGAAAUCUUACCGGGACCGACAGCGAUAUGAAGGCCAGGCUGAAGACUUUGCCGGAUUAGCUGAGAGGUGGUGCAUGGCCGUCGUCAGUUCGUACUGUGAAAGCAUCCUGUUAAGUCAGGCAACGAGCGAGACCCACGCCCACAGUUGCCAGCGUACUCUCCGGAGUGACGGGUACACUGUGGGGACCGCCGCUGCUAAAGCGGAGGAAGGAAUGGGCAACGGUAGGUCAGUAUGCCCCGAAUAUCCCGGGCUACACGCGAGCUACAAUGGUUGGAACAAUGGGUAUCUACCCCGAAAGGGGAUGGAAAUCUCCUAAAUCCAAUCUUAGUUCGGAUUGAGGGCUGCAACUCGCCCUC